rnacentral:tRNA from 1 species
GCCCUGGUAGUUCAACGGAUAGAAUAAGAGUUUCCUAAACUCCAGAUCGGGGUUCGAUUCCCCGCCGGGGUA